rnacentral:lncRNA from 1 species
CUCAGCUCACGAGUUCUCCCACAUAACUGGUGCUGCCCAGAGCCCCUGCCCCGUGUGUACCAGGACCUGAGUUGCAUUCCCAACCAAGAAAAAUAAGCAAAGAAGGCAACCACCAGGUCUCCUCUCUGGGGCCUUAGUUUCCCCGCUGUGCUUUGCAGUUUUCAAUCCCGUAUUUCCAACCGCAACAUAACCGGCCUCUGUGAAACUUGCCUGUGUGUAUACUGCCACCAUGUGACAGGUGCUGGAACUGCAGGAGUGACUUGUUCACGUUUGUGUGCAGUGGUUUGCUAUGGAGAGGACAUGAGCGUGCCACUGAGAGAAGUAUAGAUGUCCAAGAGAUGGGCAAAAGGCUCCCAUCCUUCAUGUAGUUACUCAUCAAACUUUUUAAACUGUGGUUCAAAUCCUAGAGACACAAUGCCUGGAUAAAACCAUCAUGCCAAACUCUGGGAAGACACUGGGGGAAUAGGACUCAAUGCUGGAGAAUCUGAACGUCCUAAGUGUACAGUGGGGUUUCGUGAGAUGUCAAGGAAGCCUGUAGGUCUGUACCAGGCAGAGAAACAGCCAGGUAGAGGCCCCACCUCUGCAGGGUUGGGUUGGAGGCCACAUCACAAACAGUUUUGCUGGCCAUUGUCGUAGACACUGGCUGUUAUGGGGGCCAAGAUAUGGAACAGAACAUGUACUGCACCCCUCUGGCUCCCUGUGGCACAGACCAGUGAGGGAAAGACAUCCACUAGGCAGGAGGGUGAGCGUGGACCUGGUGGGCGGUCACCUGCAGGACCUCUCCUGAAGAUGAGACCAUUGGGAUGCACUGUGGAGUGUGGGGCACUGUGCUGAUAGGGUCUGAACCAUAGCCAGAAGAGGGUUGAUGAAUGGCUGACUACACAAGGGUUGAGCUGCUUUGUCUAGCUCUUGGAUAUUCUUGUGUAAUCACAGCCCUUAGAAGGCUGAGCCAGGAGGCUUGCUUUGGGUUUUCCAGGUCAGUCUUAGCUACAUAAUGAGACCCUGGUCAAAAGACAAAAAAUGACAGACAGACAGACAGACAGACAUCCUCUGGGGUCAGUAGUCAGCAAUGACCAUGAAGAAGCCGUGUUGUGCCCAUAGCACAGACUGCCUCUCACUCCCUCAGGGUCUUCUGGGGUUCACCUCUCCUGUGUAAUGCCC